rnacentral:rRNA from 1 species
GAUGAACGCUGGCGGCGUGCCUAAUACAUGCAAGUCGAGCGAACAGACGAGGAGCUUGCUCCUCUGACGUUAGCGGCGGACGGGUGAGUAACACGUGGAUAACCUACCUAUAAGACUGGGAUAACUUCGGGAAACCGGAGCUAAUACCGGAUAAUAUAUUGAACCGCAUGGUUCAAUAGUGAAAGACGGUUUUGCUGUCUCUUAUAGAUGGAUCCGCGCCGCAUUAGCUAGUUGGUAAGGUAACGGCUUACCAAGGCAUCGAUGCGUAGCCGACCUGAGAGGGUGAUCGGCCACACUGGAACUGAGACACGGUCCAGACUCCUACGGGAGGCAGCAGUAGGGAAUCUUCCGCAAUGGGCGAAAGCCUGACGGAGCAACGCCGCGUGAGUGAUGAAGGUCUUCGGAUCGUAAAACUCUGUUAUUAGGGAAGAACAAAUGUGUAAGUAACUAUGCACGUCUUGACGGUACCUAAUCAGAAAGCCACGGCUAACUACGUG